rnacentral:rRNA from 1 species
CCUACGGGAGGCAGCAGUGAGGAAUAUUGGUCAAUGGACGAGAGUCUGAACCAGCCAAGUAGCGUGAAGGAUGAAUGCCCUAUGGGUUGUAAACUUCUUUUAUAUGGGAAUAAAAUAUUCAACGUGUGGGAAUUGGUAAGUACCAUAUGAAUAAGGAUCGGCUAACUCCGUGCCAGCAGCCGAGGUAAUACGGAGGAUCCGAGCGUUAUCCGGAUUUAUUGGGUUUAAAGGGAGCGUAGGUGGAUUGUUAAGUCAGUUGUGCAAGUUUGCGGCUCAACCGGAAAAUUGCAGUUGAAACUGGCAGUCUUGAGUACAGUAGAGGUGGGCGGAAUUCGUGGUGUAGCGGUGAAAUGCUUAGAUAUCACGAAGAACUCCGAUUGCGAAGGCAGUUCACUGGACUGCAACUGACACUGAGGCUCGAAAGUGUGGGUAUCAAACAUGAUUAGAUACCCGGGUAGUC